rnacentral:piRNA from 1 species
CAUUAAUGUGAGAGACUUAGAAAAAGA